GAUGAACGCUAGCGGCAGGCCUAACACAUGCAAGUCGAGGGAGAAGCCCUUCGGGGCAGAAACCGGCGCACGGGUGCGUAACGCGUAUGCAACCUACCUUUCACAGGGGGAUAGCCCGAAGAAAUUUGGAUUAAUACCCCAUAAUAUUAUUGGAUGGCAUCAUUUGAUAAUUAAAAUUACGAUGGUGAAAGAUGGGCAUGCGUCCUAUUAGCUAGUUGGAGUGGUAACGGCACCCCAAGGCUACGAUAGGUAGGGGUCCUGAGAGGGAGAUCCCCCACACUGGUACUGAGACAGGGACCAGACUCCUACGGGAGGCAGCAGUGAGGAAUAUUGGUCAAUGGUCGGAAGACUGAACCAGCCAUGCCGCGUGCAGGAAGAAUGCCUUANGGG
rnacentral:rRNA from 1 species